GGAGAGAUGGUCGAGUUGGUUUAAGGCACCGGUCUUGAAAACCGGCGUACCUUCGCGGGUACCCAGGGUUCGAAUCCCUGUCUCUCCGCCA
rnacentral:tRNA from 1 species